rnacentral:lncRNA from 1 species
CAGAAUCGAAACGUAGCCAACAUAAACAAAUCCACCAUAGGCAGCUGACUGGGGGAGGUCGCUAGCUUAAUCCUCAAACUCGUCGAAGUCCUAGAACUCCUGGAGAUCCGUCUCGACACCUUCUUCUUUACCUGAGCAUAGAUUGCACCAAGGGCAACCUGGUGUUUUGUGAAAGCAAGGGUGAGUACACAUCAACGUACUCAGCAAAUGUCCUAUUUGGCUGAAGUGGACUAGCUUUAUGUGGGGUUUAGUCGAGCAGUUGCUUUUAGUUGGUCAGGUUAUUAUUACUAGUAGAAAGCUAGGUUUUAGCAUUAACCCAAGUUAUUAACCCAAAGUACCCUUUCCAAACGGAAAGAGUACCACUUACCAUUACCAUAAGCAUAAUCAUAACCAUCCUCCUCAUCAUCAUCUGUAAACAAACCAUCUCUGAUGAAGUAUCUCUAAUCAAUGGAGCUCCCUUGGCCACUCAUAACCACGAGCACGGCUGAUAUAUCAGUUUCAUUACUCUCUGCAGAGGUUGCACACUUUACCCACAAGUCGUGAUUCCCUCUUGCCUCGGGCCGAUCAAACCCUUAAACACUACCAAGGUGAGUAGGCAGGGUCUCACUACGUAGCCUUUACAAAGAUUCCCUGGGCCUGUAGCCGCCCGUUAGGUUUCCUAAAUGCAACGCACUCCUCCCCAAGGGGCGAACCAACCUUGGCAGAGCGAGCCGCAUACACCGAGCCCCAUUGACGACACGACGGUGAAGCGAACUACACCCCAGUUGUCGGUGUUUUGGGUCCGACCGCACACCUGGGGUUACCCCUCAAGGUGCUUUUAGAAGUAGGACGGUGUUAUCGACUGUAGCUCAAUGGUUCGUGCCGGUUGCACGAGAAACAGAAGACAAUGGUUUACAGGUUCGGGCCGCUUUGAAAUGCGUAACACCCUACGUCCUGGCGAGAGUGCUUUAUGUGGUGGGUUACAAGGUAGUUCUCUGGUGCGAGGAACGUAGAGAGUUAGGGUGGAUGGCUGAGUAGUGAGUUCGAUCUAUUCUGAAGGGGUGCCCCCUAGGCCUUAUAUAUUCGACCGUGGGGCAAUACAUGCAGAUAUGAUAACCACAUGCACCUAAGAAAUAGUGAACCGAUUGAGUCUAUCUUCCUAUAGUUCUGCCGACCCAUCCUCACUUGGUUCCGUCGUACGGGGCUCCAGCGCGGGAAGAUCGGGUCUCUGUUGUGAUUACUUGCUCAAAGUCGUUGGGCCGUCUGGGCUUGCACCGAUCCGACCUUGUGUCGAUUUGCUUCACUGGUCGUCUCUCCCAGGCCCACCAGGAGAUGACCUCACGAAUUAUGGAGCCCUUGGGACCUUCGUGAGGUCUUUUAUCCUUCUGGUGGACCCGGGGGAUAUCUAUCCCCCACAAGCCCCCGAUCUUUGGGUCGAUUUUGAAAUAAACGGCCCAAUGAUCCUAGGUCCAGCUUCCAGUCUUUUGAUUUUAACAAGAAAACGCUUUGGGGAUAAGCAUGUCGGGCCAACGCUUCUGAAUUCUGAGUGGUCCGAUAAAAACAAUUUUUCACUGCCUUCUUCUGCUUUUAUUGCUCGAAAUUUGGUGUUCUGUCUCAGACUCUUGCUUCGGAGGUCAGCAUUUCGUACUGUAGGGCUUCGAACUUCAUUGGGCGCACCAAAGGUGCACCCAAUGGGUGUAGCCCCCGAGCUUCGAGUGGAUUUUUGAAAAUAAUCCACUCGAAGGUCUUCACUUUGAGUAUUAUCAGAAAUCACUUUCAUCUUCCACUUGUACUUUGUCGGAGGUCAGCCUUGUAUUGAUCUCACCCUAUGCUUUAGAGGUCAGCAUUGUCUUGAUCUGAGAUGAUGAUUCAUUGGGUGCACCGAAGGUGCUCCCAAUGGGUGUAGCCCCCGAGCUUCGAGUGGAUUUUUUGAAAAUAAUCCACUCGAAGAUCUUCAUUUUAUGCCUUUUCAAGUAAUAUUCUUCCCUUCUUGCCUAAUGCCUUGGAGGUCAACACUAUGUUAUUGAUAUUAUGCUUUAGAGGUCAGCAUAUAUUUUGUCUUUGAGGCCGAGUUCGUGAUCUGCCCAUAUCUUGCUAAGCAGUGCAAUUUAUUUGAUCUGUGACUGAUUGGACGUUCGACACGUGACCCUUGGCUAGUCUUCGUUAUCACUUCUUGCUUCAAUGCUUCUGUCGAUUAGACUUGUACCUUGUUGGCUAUAUUUGGCUUUCCUUUGAUCCUUGUUGAUAUCUCACUUUUGUCUUGAAGUAUUCAUUGCACGUACUGCACGGAUGUGACAGUUUUGAAAAAUAUACCGAUAAUUCCUGGGCCUCCCCCCUCAAUGGGUGUUGUGUUGCGUGAAACGGCGUCAGCCGCCUGACGUGUCUUCAGACGGUUUGAAUUGCAUAUUGAAUUUUUGUGACUGUUCAGUGGCCGUGGUAGGAGGUGAGCGUUUGCCUUCUUCUUCUAUAAAUAGUGUUCUUGCUUCCCCGGCAUUUCCACAUCUCUUACUGCUCUCUGCUGCUUGCUCUCUUCUUCUUCCUUCUUCUCCACCAUGGGCAAGAGUAAGAAAGGUAGCGGUUCUUCGCCUCGCUCUGGUGACAAGUGCAAACGUGAGCCGACUCCUCCCUCGGAGGACUUCGGCAACUCGGAGUACUCGGAGGAGGAGUUCUCCUCCGAGUCCGAGGGAUCUCCGGCCCCCGUCUCUCCCCCGGCGUCGUCUGAUGAUUCAGACGACUCCCAGGGGAUUGCCGCGGAGGUCUGGACCUACAUCCGGGCCGUCGAGCGCGCCGGGCUCGAGGGCUCGGAUGAGUCGGAGUACUCCUCAAACGAGGAGGACUCCUCGGACUCGUCCGAGGAGGGCAGCGGCGGCGAUGGCGGAGACGGGAACGACGACGGAGGCGACAGUGACGGCGGCGACGGCAGCGGCAAGGGCGGUGACGGCAGCGGCAAGGGCAGCAGCGGCGACGGUGGCAGCGGCGGCAAGGGCAGCAGCAGGGGCAUCAACUAGGCCAGUGGCUAGACGCCACUGGUUUUAGAUGUUAGUAUAGAUUAGUAGUAGAAAUAGUAUUAGUGAAAUAAUGUAGUAGUAGUAGUAUAGAGUAGUGGAAUGUAAUAUAGUAGUAGUAGGGAAGUAUCAACUCAUAAUGAGUUGAUUUGUAAGUUCUGUAGCUUCCCUUUAUGAAGAACGAUUUCGUCUCCUCCUGUGUUAAUUACUUUGCCUCCUGGUCAGUUGAUGAUCGUUGCAAUAUUUAUUGUCCAUGAUGUUCUCUGUCUGCUAUGCUUGAGUAGUAACUUGGAGUUCUCGAAUCAUUCUUCCGUUCGUUUUCUCUGCGUCGUCGGUGCCUCAGAAGCAAUGGCCGAGUCACUCGGUGUCACAUUGUCGCUUUUAGGGGCGACGGCCGAGUUAUUAUUGACAACAUUAGCGCUUCUGAAGUAGCGUCCGAAUGAUGGCCGGGCCACAUCGGUGUUUUUAGAAUUAACUACCGAGUGGUUACUGGUGAUGUCAGCGUUAUAGAGGCAACGACCGAGUGACUGAUGGCAACGUUGACGUUUUUAGAGGUAACAGCCGAGUCACUGAUGGCAACGUCGGCGUUUUAGAGGUAACAGCCGAGUGACUGACGGCGACGUCGGCGUUUUAGAGGUAACAGCCGAGUGACUGAUGGCGACGUCGGCGUUUUAGAGAUAACGGCCGAGUGAAGUCAGGUAAUGUCAGCGUUUUUAGAGACAACAGCUGAGUCAAUUUGGGCCGCGUCGGCCGUUUUGGAAAUAAUGGCCGAGUGAUGACAUGGCACGCCUGCUUUUUUAGAAAUAGCAGCUGAGUGAUGACAUGGCACGCCAGCAUUUUAGAAAUAACCGCUGGGUGAUGACUGGGCACUUUUUGGAAACGGCAUCUGGCCCGGGAAGACCCCAUAUGUACUGCAUUGUUGCGUGUCUCCACAUUCCGUGCCCUAGUUCUUGCUUUCCUCCAUCCAGGCUCUCUCUGCCGUUUUGCGAUUCUGCUUCCGCUCCGCUCGCUGGCGAGGUUGAGAUGGCGCCCAAGCGGAAAGCCUCGAGUUCGUCCAUUGCUGUCAUUCCCCCCAUCGAUCCCAACAGCCAGUUGCCUUUCGCAGGUAACCAUAUGUAUGUUGUUUCUGAGUCUGACCUUCUCCAUCUCGUGUCCAUCGGAGUUCUUCCUCCGAAAGAGCUCUGUUCCUGGCGGAUCUGCUGUGGGGUCACUGUUCCAACAGAAGACACCCAUGAGUCUGUUGUUUACGUUCCAUUCCUCCUUCGCGGCCUUGCUCUUCCUAUUUCUCCCUUUUUCCGCGGUCUCCUUGAUUUCUAUCACUUGAAUCUGACCCAUCUGAACCCCAAUUCCAUUCUGCAAAUCUCCAUCUUUGUUCAUUUAUGUGAGGCUUUUCUUGGCGUUCUGCCGCACUUUGGCAUGUGGAAGUUCUUGUACCAUUGUCGGCCUGGGACGGCCGGAGGGCAGCACCAACUGGUAGGGGGCGCGAGCUUGGAGAUGCACCGUGGGAGGAAGACUGAUUACCUUGACAUCCCACUCAAGGACAGCAUCAAAGGAUGGUGCUUAAAGUGGUUUAUCGUGGAGAAUCAUGGGAAUUCCCUCCCACCAUGGUCAGGGAGACAGCCGGAAGUUCGCACUCCGAGCUGGACCGAAUCCCCCACAGACCAGGAGGUGGCCGAGGCAGGGGCUCUGUUGGCUGAAGUUGGAUUGUUGAAGGAGAGAGGUCUGACUACAGAGGCUAUGGUUGCUGACUUUGUCUUCAAGAAUAUUCAGCCACUGAAAGACAGGGCACACCCGGCCUAUCUGUACCGAGGCCUGGCUGACUCAACCCGGGUUACCAACAGAAGAAUUCCUGCUGUGGACUUGGUAAGCCGGCUCAAAAUGAUACUCAGAGGCAAGGUAUCGAAUGUUGGCACCCCUGUUGCGUAUUAGGCCUGGAACCUAUCUCCUUCCAAGGCCUUCAUCCAUUUUGUGUUAAAUCCUCCUACUGGUGAUGGCGGUUUGGGCCUUAGAGUGCGACCCUCUGUCGAAGAAGUUAGCGCUUUGGUUGCUUCGCUUGAAGAAAUUCCUGAUGAUGAACGGCAGGUUCAUUUUGAGGUGCCUUUGGAUCCCAGUGAUGCAGAGAUAGGUGCUAUGCUGGAUAUGUUGGCUGGGGAUUCUUCCGAUGCCGCUCCUGCUGAAACAUUGGCGGUGGUGCCCAUUCCUGGGGUUGACAAAGCAUUGGACGCUCAGAAGUCUGUCAAUGUUCGUCCAAAACAUUCUCGCCGAGCCGUUCAAGCCUCUUUUCCUGCUGAGGGGGAGAAAAAGAAGAAAAGACGUAUUCGUCGGGUGUCUAGCUUGGAUCAGGGUGCCAGUCCUUCUGCUCCUGUUGCUGAGGAAGUGCCAGUGCCUGAAUUCACUGAAGCUGUUCCCAAUGGGUGUGACCCGUCCGACGCUGAUCCCAAUGGGUGUGUUGUCCGUCUUGUUGAUGAGGAUGAUGAAGAAGAGGACGACAUCCCUCUGAUUCGGAAGAACAGCCAUCGUUACAUAGCUAGUGGGGAAAGUAGCGGUGUUCCUUCUCCAGCCUUGUCUGCCCUCAUUGGUCUGCAAGAAUUAUCUUUGGCGAACUUUGAUCAUACUCUUGAGGACAUGAUUCCAGAAGAUCUGUUAUCAGAACCGGCAGAUGGUGGCGCGAUGGAUGUUUGUGUUGAUGCGCUCAACGCCGGGUUGGGGUCCUCCCGGGCAGCGUCCCGCGCCUCAUCGACCUUGGAGCGCGGUCUUGAGGGUCAGGAAGCUGGUUUGGAUUGCCCUGCUCCCAUGGAAUUGACUGAGGGACCUUCAGCCUUAGAGGUAGCUGCUGCAGAGAACUCGACCCUCAAUGAUGGUGCUGGCGCUUAUCCAGCCCCUGAGGGUGUUGCCGGAGAUGAUCCGGCUCGGAUGGGUAGCGCAAGCUACUACCCAGCCCCCAAGGGUGUUGCCGGAGAUGAUCCGGCUCGGAUGGGUAGCGCAAGCUAUGACCCAGCCCCUGAGGGUGUCCGAGCGGGUUCUCCCUCUUGCACUUCCAUGGAUGUUCACGUAGGGUCUUCUCCUCCACACUCUGGUUGCAUGGUGAUAGCCCAAGCCUUUGGUCAAGGGGUCGUUUUAGAGGCUAGCGUACCUGAUGACAGAGUUUUGGGUUCUGCUGAUGACACUGAAUUGGUCCCUGCUGAAUCGUUGCAAGUUGCUCCAGAUGGUGAUCCUUUGCCGAGCCAUCAGCUGAUCUCUCAUGAUUUGGGAGUCGCCUCCUUCUUCUCCAACUUCCAGGUAUUUUGGUUUCUUCUGGUCUGACUUUUACCCAAGCAGAUAAUUAUUCUCAUGCUUGCCUGCUUUUUAAUGCCAGGCGUUGGUCGAUGAGAUGUCUAGUCGGCUGAUGUUGCAGGGUGCUUCUGUCCCAGAAGGAGCUUUGUCUCUGGCGCGUUGGAAUCUGGUGCUGCUUCAGCGGCGUGUUACUGACUUAGAGGCGGCGAAUGCUGGUCAGUGCUCUUUUGCUUCAUUUUGGCUACCUUAUUAAACUGCUUCCUAUUUUAACACCUUUGCUUGACUGUUUCUCGCCAGAUAUGACUCGGCAGUAUUCUGAUCUUGAAGAAAAACAUUCUCAAGGUCAAGCUGAACUGGUCCGGCGGUGCUCCGAUCUUGAGGAAAAGUAUUCACAAAGUCAGACAGAGCUGGCCCAGGUCUGUGCUUCUCUGAAUGACGCUAACAUGCUGAACUCUACUCUCCGCGCUCAGCUCGACUCUGAAAAGGUGACCUGUGAAUCCGGGCUUUGUUUUGUUGUGUUCUUAUUGCUUGCUUGACGUUUGAGGAGGCUGAUUCCCGUUUGCAGGAAGAAAAACGUGCCCUUGUUACUUCUCGUGACAAUCUUGACAGAUUAUACCGUGACUCCAACAACUCACUGACCAUCUUGGAGAGGAGUCAUCGCUUCACCAGGGAGGAGUUGGACAAUCUUCGUUAUAAGCUGCAGGAAUCUUUGGAUUACGUGAUUCGCCUCAGGCAGUUGAUAUCGGCCAAAGAUGCUGUCAUCAAGAAUCUGUGUGCUUCCAAGAAAUCCGUCGCCCAGGAGCUAGAGACCGCUCAGUUGGCUGUCAAGGUUGCUGAAGAGACUUCCGCUACUCUGAGGGUCCAGCGCAAUAAAGCUAUGGAUAAAGCUAUUCGCGCGAGGCAGAUUCUGAUGAGGAGACCUGGUGUGGUUGUCCUUGACGACAUAGUGGCAGAUGUGAACGCCGCUCCUGAUUCCUCCAGUCGUCCUUCUUCGUCGGUUGCUCCUGAGAAGAACGUUGCAAAAUAGAAAAACACUGUAUGCUUUGAGCGCGUGGUUAACGUGCUCGGAUGUUUUGUUAGAGGACACGUUUUAGUACUGAAUGCUACUAUUGUUCUCCUAUUGUUUAGAAUUCAACAGUAUCUAUAUUUGUAGAAGUAAAAUGCAGCGUAAUGGUUUCGAGACUUCUUCGUGGGACAUAGAGGCCGCCCCUGGAUGAGUAACCGUAUACGCGCUGAGUGUGUUGCGCCAGUUUGAAUUGGUAUCAACUCCAACUGAUCGCUUCGUUGGUGCGGUAUAGUGGCCACCCCGAGUUAAGUAAGCGCGAGCAUGUUGCACCGUUCUUAAGUCAUUCACGACUUAAGCCGAUUGCUUCGUUAGCAGGGCAUAGUGGUCACCCCAAGUUAAGUAAGCGUGAGCAUGUUGCACCGUCUUAAGUCGUUGCCGACUUAAGCCGAUUGCUCCGUUAGCUGGGCAUAGUGGUCACCCCGAGUUAAGUAAGCGUGAGCAUGUUGCACCGUCUUAAGUCGUUGCCGACUUAAGCUGAUUGCUCCGUUAGCAGGGCAUAGUGGUCAACCCGAGUUAAGUAAGAAUGCAGGUCGACAAUGAAUAAUUUGAGCGCUCUUGAAGUCUUCCCAGUGAUGAUAUAUUUCCCAGUUUACAGAGUACAUUGUCGUCCCAAUAGCUUUCGAAAUACAGCUAGGGGUAAAACUUCCUAAGGUGUUCUAUGUUCCAUGAGUUCCCAAUUUCUGUUCCGUCCAUCUGAGUAAGACGAUAUGAUCCCGGCCGAGUGACUUUUGCUACUAUGAAUGGUCCUUCCCAUAGAGGUGACAAUUUAUGUCGUCCCUCCCCCGCUAGAAUUCAGCGGAGGACGAGAUCUCCCACUGCGAAGGAUCAACGUCGUAUGGCCUUAUCAUGAUAGCGCCUCAGAGUUUGUUGGUAUCGCGCUGAUUGAAUCACCAUGUUCAGCCGUUCUUCUUCGAGUACAUCAACAUCUUCUAGCCUAGUAGCCUCAGCUUCUGCUAUGUUCUCAAAGAUCAACCUUGGCGCCCCAAACUUGAGAUCAGCAGGUAGUACUGCCACUGAACCGUAGACCAUGAAGAAAGGAGUAUUUCCAUGCAGGGCUCGACUAGGUUGAGUUCUAAGGCUCCAAACGACGUAGGGCAACUCCCUUAUCCAUUUUCCUGUGAACUUUUCAUUUUUAUCGAAGACUUUUUUCCUGAGGGCCUCCAAUAUCAUCCUGUUAGCUCUUUCAACCUGCCCAUUGGCUCUUGGGUGCGCCACCGAAGCAUAUUUGAUCUGAAUGCUCUUCUGCUCACAGAAAUCAAAGAACUCUGAACUUGUGAAGUUGGAUCCCAGGUCAGUUAUGAUGCUAUUCGAUAUUCCAAAUCUGAAUAUUAUGUCUUGUAUGAAUUCCACUGCCUUAGCUGAAUUUAAGGAAGCAAUGGGUUUGAACUCUAUCCAUUUAGUGAACUUGUCGAUAGCCACCAGUACAUGAGUGUAUCCUCCUUGAGCUUUCUUGAAAGGCCCAAUCAUAUCCAAUCCCCAGCACGCGAACAGCCAAGUUAUGGGUAUAGUCUUCAGCUGCUGUGCUGGUAGAUGUUGCUGUUUUGACAGGUACUGGCAGGCUUCGCACCUCUGGACUAACUCGGCUAUGUCACUCUUCGUUGUUGGCCAAUAGAAACCUGACCUGAAGACCUUCCCAACCAGGGUCCUAGAUGCUGCGUGUACUCCACAUUGCCCAGCAUGGACCUCAUCCAGAAGUUGCUUUCCAGUAGCUGAGAGAAUGUAUUUCAUGAGGACUCCUGAUGCACCCCUUCUAUAUAGUGUUUCCCCAAUGAGUGUAUAGUGAGCUGAUUGUCUUGCGAUGCGCUCGGCUGUAUUCUUGUUAUCUGGCUCCUCCUCAUUUUUUAUAUAUUUGAUGAUCGGCCUCCUCCAGUCAUCAGAAUCUGACUCUGGUUGGCUCAAAGUAUUACAUUCUUCUGCCUGAUCCGGUGAGAUGCUUGGGUGUGAUAUUUCUUGAACGAAGACUCCAGGUGGGACCUGAGUUCGACUGGAUCCUAGCUUGGACAACGCAUCAGCUGCCGUGUUUCGAUCUCUCUCUACAUGGUGAAAUUCUAGACCUUCAAAUUUAUCUUCUAAUUUCCAGACGGCAGUGCAGUAUUUUCCCAUGGAAUCGCUUGAACAAUCCCAUUCUUUGUUUAUCUAACUUAUGACUACCAUAGAAUCUCCAUAUACCAUCGGUCUCUUGAUGCCCAGUGAUAUAGCAAUGUUCAGUCCGUGAAUCAGAGCUUCAUAUUCUGCUGCAUUGUUAGAGGCUGGAAAUAACAACUGUAGGGCAUAUCUGAGGUGUUCGCCUCCAGGUGUAGUAAAGAGGAUCCUUGCGCCUGCUCCCUGCAGCUUUAACGAGCCAUCAAAAUACAUUCGCCAUACUUCUGCAGUUUCUGGGUUAUCUGGUACUUGUUGUUCGGUCCACUCCGAUACAAAGUCAACCAGUGUUUGAGUUUUAAUGGCAGUGCGAGGUCGAAAUUCAAUGUCGUGAGAUCCCAGCUCGCAGGCCCAUUUGGCUAUUCUCCCGAUGGCUUCUUUGUUGUGAAGAAUAUCUCCUAUCGGAAAUCCCGUGACUACUAUGACUUUGUGGUCGUCGAAGUAGUGACGGAGCUUGCGUGCAGUUAGAAGUACUGCAUAUAAUAGCUUCUGAACUUGAGGGUAUUUUUUCUUCGAGGGACCCAGAACUUCACUGAUGAAAUAAACAGGAUGUUGCACUGGAUAGGCAUGUCCUUCUUCUGCUCGCUUGACUACCAACGCGGUGCUCACCACGUGAGUCGUGCAAGAGAUAUAUAGCAGCAAAUCUUCAGCUGGUUGAGUCGACGUGGCCCGUCGUGGCGGUUUCAGCACCGGCGGUGUCGUCAAUAACUUUUUCAAUGCGUCUAGGGCUUCCUGUGCUUCUGAAGUCCACUGAAACUUGUCCACCUUAUUGAGUAACUUAUAAAAUGGUAAGCCUUUUUCUCCCAGCCUGGAUAUGAAUCUGCUCAGGGCUGCCAUACAUCCGGUAAGUCUUUGAACUUUCUUCUGUGAUCGUGGUGCCUCCAUCCUCAUGAUAGCUUCGAUCUUUUCUGGAUUAGCUUCAAUUCCCCGGUGGCUGACAAUAAACCUGAGUAAUUUUCCUGCUGGUACCCCGAAAACACAUUUUUCGGGAUUAAGCUUCCAUCUAUAUCGUCGUAGACUGUUGAAAACCAGCUGUAAAUCUUCAAUGAAAUUUUCCGAAUUUUAUGUUUUGAUCACCACAUCGUCCACAUAAGCUUCCACACGCUUGCCCCAGUGAUCGGCUAAGCAUGUUUGAAUAGCUCUCUGAUAAGUCGCUCUAGCGUUUUUGAGGCCGAACGGCAUGGAGGUAUAGCAGAAAGCACCGAAUGGAGUGAUGAACGCUGUUUUUUCCUCGUCUUCUUUUGCCAGGCUAAUCUGAUGAUACCCAGAGUAGCAAUCCAAGAAGGACAGCAUAGAACAUCCAGCGGUGGAAUCUACCACCUGAUCUAUCCUAGGGAGCCCAAAGGGAUCCUUUGGACAGUGUUUGUUGAGAUCCAUAUAGUCGACGCACAUGCGCCAAUCCACCUUAUUCUUUUUGAGUACAAGAGCAGGGUUAGCUAGCCACUCGGGAUGUAACACCUCUCUAAUAAAUCCAGCCGCGACCAAGCGAGCCAGCUCAGCGCGAAUGGCCUCUCUCUUGUCGGGCGUGAAACGACGUAAUUUUUGCCGAAUCGGCCUCACCUGGGGGUAGACCUUCAGUUUGUGCUCGGCCAGUUCUCUCGGGACUCCCGGCAUAUCCGCAGGUUGCCAUGCGAAUAUGUCUCGGUUAUCUUGUAGGAACUGGAUGAGCGCUCCUUCCUAUUUGUCAUCCAGGCUGGAGCUGAUGAUGGCAGUCUUGCGUUCAUCAGCGAACCUGAGGUUGAUCCUUUUGGUUUCUUCAAUCGGCCGCAUAGAGGUCACAACUUGAGCCUCGUUCGCGGGUGCUGCGAGGUCUUCUUCAGGCUUAGAGUUUGCCUGCACAGAAGAAGUCACUGACGGUUUGGUGGUGAGGGCCGCCUGGAUGGCCACUCGGAAACAUUCUGCGGCGCCUUGAAAGUCAGCGCGCACAGUUAUGAUCCCUUGUGGUCCUGGCAUCUUCAGUAUCAUGUAUGUGUAAUGUGGAAUGGCCAUGAAUUUUGCCAGUCCAGGCCUCCCGAUGAUGGUGUUGUAUCCGCAGUCGAAGUUCGCCACCUCGAACCUCAGGUACUUGGUUCUGUAGUUUUCCGGAGUCCCGAAGGUGACCAGCAUGUAGAUGUGGCCCAGCGGAUACUCUCCUUCAGUCGGCACGAUGCCGAAGAAGGGUGUGUCCGACUCAUGGAGCUCUUUGAGGUGAACUCCCAAUCCUUGGAGCGUCCGGGGGAAGGUGACGUUGAUGCUGCUCCCCUCGUCCACUAAUACCUUCUUCACCCUGCUCUCUCGGAUCACCGGAUCGACGAGGAGCGGGUAUUUGCCUGGGUGAUCGAAGUUAAGCCACUGAUCUGCCCGAGUGAAGGUGAUCGGGUGCUCCAACCAUCGGUACGGAGCGGGAGGACCGGUGGUCGCCACCAAUAUUUGGCGAUCGUUGAGCUUUUGUUGUCUUUUGUUCUCCUGCGAUCCGUGUUCGCCAAAGAUGACGUUGACCUCUCUGUCGACACGUGGGAAGGCUCCUCCUCCUCAAUCCUCUUGUUGCUGGGGUUGUCGCGGUUCUCCUGGUCCUCCCCGCGGCGGAGGAGGGGGUAGAGGUUGGAAGGGUCGGCCGUGCCCGACGGAGUGCUUGAAGUCUCUGAAGUUCCGAAGGGUGUGGCGCAUGUCUUUGUGGUACGGGCACUGGGCGUCGAGGAUGUCGUCCAGCGUGCGUUCGCCUCCCUGGGGUCCUCCUCGGGCGCGAGAGGCGGGCGGUCCGGCGGCAUGGACCUCUUCGCGAGGCCUCUUCUCCCAACGCUUGUCGGGCUGUUGGUUCGUGUCGCAUCGCGGCGCUGCCGAUGCCGGCUUCGUUCCUUCGAUGAGGUCCCGAGCUCGCUCGUCGGCAGUGAUAUAGAGGUAGGCUUCCCGGAACAGCUGUUCGGAGGUAGUCGGUGCCUUCUGUAGUAUGGUUCGGACGAAGGCUGAGUCAUCGGAUCCCCGGUAGAAGUCUUCGAUCACCGCCGCUUCCACGACCUCAGGGAUACGAUUUCUCAUGGUCUGGAAUCUUUUGAGGUAAGACCGGAGAGUUUCAUCCCCCCGGCGCUUGAUGGAUUUGAGGUCCCAUGGUUGCGCUGGCUUGUCGAAGAGGGACUGGAAGUUGGCGAUGAAACGUCGACUGAAAUCACUCCAGUCGUCGAUGCAGUGUCGUGGUAGGUGUCGCAGCCAUUGCAGUGCAUCUUGCCCGAGGACGAUGGGCAAGUACGUGGUCAUCAUGUCCUCGGUUGCCCCGGUAGCUCGGGCAGCGGUGGUGUAGACGGCCAGCCAGCCUCCCGGAUCCUGCUUAGGUUCAUAUUUGUCAACGUUGGAUACCUUGAAGUUAGGGGGCCAUUGAAUGGCUCUAAGGCACGGAGUAAGUGCCGACACUCCACACGUGUCCUCUUGUCGUCGGGGGUGAUGUCUGUCCCGGGGAGGGGAGUGGUUGUCGUGGUGCCUCGACCGUCCCCGGGUGGCGCCGCCAGUCGAAGUCGUUGCUGACUCGGUCCUAGUGGCCUGACUCCGGGAUGGGAUGUUGUGGUCCCUGUCGUAUUCUUCCCGGUGACGGAUCUCGCUCUCAUGUCGUUGUUCGCGUGAAGCGUUGAUGGAGCUCCGUGCGUCCCGCCGACUGUUGAUGGCAUGUCGUAGAUCAUUCGGCGGAUGUGUGAGAGGUAGAAGAUGGUUGGCUGCUCGAGUGAACAGUCGCUGGUAGCCCUCAGCAUCGGGAGUCUGAGGGAGACCGUCGGCUAUCCGAGCCAGCACUCCGCCGACUUCACUCGGCGUGUUCAAGGCUCGGGCGAAGUCGGGGUUCAGGUUGCGCCCGAAGAGUGGAUUUUCCCGACGUUGCUUUGUUUCCUGUUCAGCAUGUUCUUGAGCUCGUCGGCGAUCGCGUCGUCGGGAAUUCCUCCUUUCCCGGAAGACACGCUCUUCCGGGGUUUCUCCCAUUUCCGAGACCUCGUCUCGCGACACAGGCGGCGCCGGGUCCCGCUCUCCGGCUUCGUGAUGUCGCCGGAUAUUUCGGCGUCGAUUCCUUCGUCGGCGGGAUUCCCGCUGAGGAGGUUCCUCUCCGGGUGCAGUCGGCUCGUCGUCGGAGAUGGGGGGCGACUCCACUCUCCCGAUGAAGAGGACGUCGGGGUAGAAUAGUGCAGUUGUCAUGACGAUCUUCUUUCUGUUCUCCUUUGAGGGCAGAGGCACAGAAAGAACAACUUGCUUCCUUCCGAUUUUAUUUGUUUCUUUCUUUCUUGUGAUUUAUGUCCAUUCUUUCGUCGGAGAGGUAGGUAGUGGAGUUUUCUGGGUUGACGGACCCUGGGCCUCUGUCCUGCCAGAGGCGAUCUUUUUUCGGAGCAUUGGAGGUUGCGUCUUUUCCUGUCUUGCCCCAAUUUUCCCGGAGAUUUUUGAGGAAGAUCUUCUCUCCGUCGGAUCCACAAUGCGAUGCAGAGUUCCCUCCUCAUCCGCUAAAGAUGAGAUGGUUCCGAAGCAGAAUGUGGACCCAGGGCGGAAGACGGUCUUGUGCAGGAAGGUGACGGCCAUUGAGCUAGCUUGGAUCGACGACACACCCCCUACCUGGCGCGCCAGCUGUCAGUGUUUUGGGUCCGACCGCACACCCGGGGUUACCCCUCAAGGUGCUUUUAGAAGUAGGACGGUGUUAUCGACUGUAGCUCAAUGGUUCGUGCCGGUUGCACGAGAAACAGAAGACAAUGGUUUACAGGUUCGGGCCGCUUUGAAAUGCGUAACACCCUACGUCCUGGCGAGAGUGCUUUAUGUGGUGGGUUACAAGGUAGUUCUCUGGUGUGAGGAACGUAGAGAGUUGGGGUGGAUGGCUGAGUAGUGAGUUCGAUCUGUUCUGAAGGAGUGCCCCCUAGGCCUUAUAUAUUCGACCGUGGGGCAAUACAUGUAGAUAUGAUAACCACGUGCACCUAAGAAAUAGUGAACCGAUUGAGUCUAUCUUCCUAUAGUUCCGCCGACCCAUCCUCGCUUGGUUCCGUUGUACGGGGCUCCAGCGCGGGAAGAUCGGGUCUCUGUUGUGAUUACUUGCUCGAAGUCGUUGGGCCGUCUGGGCUUGCACCGAUCCGGCCUUGUGUCGAUCCGCUUCACUGGUCGUCUCUCCCAUGCCCACCAGGAGAUGACCUCACGAAUUAUGGAGCCCUUGGGCCCUUCGUGAGGUCUUUUAUCCUUCUGGUGGACCCGGAGGAUAUAUGUCCCCCACACCAUUUCCUCUAAUUACUCAGCUAAGGGCGUCCCACUCCACCCUCAUGGUUGCACUGUUUUCCCGGGCGGUCAUCCAACGAACAGGUCCUUACGGAGAGGCACUCGAGAAACCACUCGAGCCCCCUAGAGUAUCACCAGUCCAACACCAUAAUAAUAAUGACAACAUCGUAUCAUAAGUGUUCACAUCAUGUUCAUUGAUUAAAGUAAAGCAAUAGCAUGAAUCUACCCAUAGUAACCCAAAAGGUAAUCAAGGACAAGAUAAGUAGAAAGCUAGUCAAUCCUUAGGUUGUUCAUAGUAUGCGGGACAGUGAAUUAUAAAGUAAAUGGGACAUAAUGGGUCAGAGGACACUUGCCUUCACCAAACAGAUGCUCAGGGUCUUCAACUUCGUGGAACUCGAAGAGCUAGAUCGCUUGGUCGCCGAAGCUUGACCGUCGAUUCCUCGAAGCUCGAAAAUAGAUCGCAGUCUAUUCGCGACGCACAACGAAUACAAAUAGGCACAAAUAAACAACCAUAUAUAUGCAUAAGAACAUUACACCAUUCAAGAUAAAAUAUUAUUAAAACAAGCAGUAUAAAAAUAGAGAGCGCUUCUACGAUUACGCGGGGAUAAGAAACGCGACGGUCGAAGCUACGGUCGAGAAGUUAUAACGUUUACGCUACGCUAGUAAUAGUCAGGACAUUUAAUUCGACAUUAUAAAAUAUAAAUUAUAACUGCUAUAUAGUUUGAUUCAACCUGCUACACUAACAGCUGUCAAAUAAAUAACUAAUAUAAUUAGCACGAGAGAUCCUAAGCGAGGCAAAUUUACAAGAAACGAAACAAUACGAUAUCAUGCAGACGACACACGGACACGCGCGACAUAGCACGCGAAAGACUCACGAGACAGUGCGUGCGACCGGGGCGAACGACGCGCGAACCAGCACGUUACCACGUGCAGAACAGCACGCGUGACAGGCGAGAAAACUAAAUAGGUGACAUGCUUACACUAAACAAAUAUUAAAUAAAUAAAAAGUAUUUAAGUUAACAUUAAUCAUGGUAAUGUUUAUUAUCAAUGCGCAAGUUGAAAACUAUACAUAAUCAAAUUGGAAUAUUAAUCUAAUCAACAUUAGUCGAGCAAACAUUAAAUAAAUUAUUUAAAAUAUGUGACCCGACAUAUUAAUGUUGUUAACAUGAGUAAUUACAAGCAAAAAUAAUUUAUUAUCACGAGCAGACGUUGUGCGACCCACGGGAUAGACACGCGAACUAGACGCACGACACGAACGCGCGAAGGAAUUGACGACGACACGCAAACAGCGCGUGAAUGACAUGCGAACAGCGUGCGAGUCAGCACUCGCGACACGCGAGAAUCCAUAACAGAGGUUGCGUUUAUAUUAAACAAGUGUUAAUUUUAAAACAUUUGAGUCGACAAUAACACAUUAAUAUAUAUUUAUAAAAGCACCAAGUUAAAACCAUAAAUUAGUUCUAAUUAAAUUGCUAUUUUAAUAAUCAUUGAACAAACCAAUAAUUAAUUAGUUAAUUAAAACAUGUGUUACAACAAAACAAUGUACUAAUACUCGGUUAACGUUAUUAAGAAAUUAACGCGACUGAAACGAAGAUAGAAUAAAUCGGACAUCUAACACAAAAGUUAACUUGUAUUUGAUAAACAUUUUUAUUGGAUGGUUGCAUUCAUCGACGCUAUCGUGCAUGUGAUGGGAGCUAACCGCAUGCAGAUUCCUUUUUUUCUCUCUUACACACACUCGCAGUUGCAGGUUCUCGAUUUUUGGUGCAUGCAACCACGAACGUAGAGGGGCAUGGGCGGUUGCCUUCCUAGGCGCAUGCACGAAGAAAGCUGGCACGCCGUGAGGGGGAGGGCUCGUCGACGGCCGGGCUGGGCCAGCAAGGAUGUGGCGAGCAGCGAACAUGCAGAGGCGUGGCACGGCUACGCACAGCAGCCGAUGACGCGGGGCAGCACGGCGCGCUCGCAAGCCUUUGCCAUGAUGCGGUGGGGCGGGAGGCGGAGAGAGGCUUAGAGCGUGGCGCGGAUCGGACAGCAGCACACAGCUUGGGGCGCAUGGCAGUGCGGCAACGACACAGUGGGCUGGCCGGAGCAGCAGCCAUGGCAGCCGGGCAAGGUGGCGAUGCACAGCUAGACGGAGCAGGGACGUGCGCACACGGGCUAUAGGCUCGCCGGCGCCACGGCGGAGCAGGCGCGCAGGGAGGUAAUAGAUUGCGAGAGGGAGGGGCAGACGAAGGGGAAGUGCUCACCUCAGGCAGCAGGGUCAGGGACGGUGGGUGUGGAAGGAUGUCGGUCGGCGAACGGCGAAGACGGGCG